UACGGGGGGGGCAAGCGUUGUUCGGAAUUACUGGGCGUAAAGGGCUCGUAGGCGGCCAACUAAGUCGGAUGUGAAAUCCCCAGGCUUAACCUGGGAAUUGCAUCCGAUACUGGAUGGCUUGAAUCCGGGAGAGGGAUGCGGAAUUCCAGGUGUAGCGGUGAAAUGCGUAGAUAUCUGGAGGAACACCGGUGGCGAAGGCGGCAUCCUGGACCGACAUUGACGCUGAGGAGCGAAAGCCAGGGGAGCAAACGGG
rnacentral:rRNA from 1 species